ensembl:lncRNA
GUGAAUCUUCAAGGGCUCAGGCAUGCUUAGGCCAGAUGAAGGGCACGGAUCAAGAGUGCUUCUCAGCAUCUCUGUUUCCAGAGCGACAGUUCCCUGUCCCUGAUGACCCCAUCUGCAACGGCUUAUCGCACACAGACCUUGCCUGGUCUCACGUUCAUCCGGCAGAACCUAUGUAUGUUCUUGCAGACAGAAACCUGAGGAACAGAUGGAGGAGUUGGCCAUAAAACAUGCUUGUUAUCACAGAGAACGUUACUCCUCUUUCCGACUUAGUGCCCCAAGCAUGGGGGCGGAUUGAGCCGAGCAGAAGGAUCCUAGUGACUCAGAAGCUUCCAGGGAAGAAAUCAACAUAUGGCAACCACUGAGGUCACACUUUCCUCCAUUGCUUGUACAUGGCAUUGUUGACAUAGGUAUAGGGAUGCUGUGUUGCCAAGCACCAGACAAGGAAUGGG